AUUGAACGCUAGCGGGAUGCUUUACACAUGCAAGUCGAACGAGUGGCGGACGGGUGAGUAAUAUAUCGGAACGUGCCCAGUAGCGGGGGAUAACUACUAGAAAGAGUGGCUAAUACCGCAUACUCUUGGAGCGGCCGAUAUCGGAUUAGCUAGUUGGUGGGGUAAAGGCGCACCAAGGGCACGAUCCGUAGCUGGUUUGAGAGGACGACCAGCCACACUGGGACUGAGACACGGCCCAUACGCCUACGGAGGGCAGCAGUGGGGAAUUUUGGACAAUGGGUGAAACCCUGAUCCAGCCAUCCCGCGUGUAUGAGAAGGCCUUCGGUUUGUAAAGUACUUUUGGCAGGGAAGCGUUAUCUGCAGAAUAAGCACCGGCUAACUACGUGCCAGGCGCCGCGGUAAUUC
rnacentral:rRNA from 1 species